GGCAGGGCGUUCCUGAGCGGCGUGAUGAUCGCUGCCGCCGGCGCCGGCGCGCUGCUGGGCCACGUGGACGCCGCGCCGGCGGCCUCCAAGAGGCGGGCCCCGCCGCCGCCGACGGAGGAGAAGGAGAAGAAGGACCCCAACCUCAGCGGCGUGCAGGCCAAGGUGUUGGCCAGCAGGAAGAGGAAGGAGGCCAUGAAGGAAGCCGUGGCCAAGAUGAAGGAGAAGGGGAAGAGGCCUGCCGACGCGGCCAGCAGUGUAACCGGAAUUACGGCCAAAUCGACAGGGGCCGUUGUAGAGUGAGUAUGUUUGGGUGCCGCCGAUUAAUUUACCAACCACUCAUUCAUUUGUCGAUGACGAGCACAUAACAGAGAUCGAUCCGACAUGUCUUGGAGUAAAUAUUCACUGAAUGAGUAUCGUUUUGCUACGUGCUAUGGAGUACAUCUUGAAUUGAUGCGCUACUAU
rnacentral:lncRNA from 1 species